UACGGAGGGUGCAAGCGUUACUCGGAAUCACUGGGCGUAAAGGACGCGUAGGCGGGUUGGUAAGUCAGAUGUGAAAUCCUACAGCUCAACUGUAGAACUGCAUUUGAAACUACUGACCUAGAGUAUGGGAGGGGGAGAUGGAAUUAGUGGUGUAGGGGUAAAAUCCGUAGAUAUCACUAGGAAUACCAAAAGCGAAGGCGAUCUCCUGGAACAUUACUGACGCUAAGGCGUGAAAGCGUGGGGAGCAAACAAG
rnacentral:rRNA from 1 species